CAACGAAUCUUCCCCAAUGGGCGAAAGCCUGAGGGAGCGACGCCGCGUGAAGGACGAAGUUCUUCGGAAUGUAAACUUAUGUAAGGAUCGAGAAAGUUUAGCGCCUAACAUGCGCAAAAAUUGAUCUGGUCCCUAAAAGGGGCGGCUAACUCUGUGCCAGCAGCCGCGGUAAUACAGAGGCCCCAAGCGUUACUGAGAAUCACUGGGUUUAAAGGGUGCGUAGGUGGUCCGUUAAGUCCGUUGUGAAAUCCCUGGGCUCAACCCAGGAAAUGCUUCGGAUACUGGCGGACUUGAGGCUAGUAUGGGUCACUGGAACUGACGGUGGAGCGGUGAAAUGCGUAGAUAUCGUCAGGAACGCCAAUGGUGAAGACAGGUGACUGGGCUAGUUCUGACACUGAGGCACGAAAGCGUGGGGAGCGAACGGGAUUAGAUACCCCGGUAGUCCACGCCCUAAACGAUGCAGACUAGACUGCAGCGGGUUACACCCCGUUGCGGUCGGAGCGAAAUUGUUAAG
rnacentral:rRNA from 1 species